GUCGAACGGAAAGGCCUAGCUUGCUAGGUACUCGAGUGGCGAACGGGUGAGUAACACGUGGGUGAUCUGCCUCGUACUUCGGGAUAAGCCUGGGAAACUGGGUCUAAUACUGGAUAGGACCAUGCUUUAGUGUGUGUGGUGGAAAGUUUUUUCGGUACGAGAUGAGCCCGCGGCCUAUCAGCUUGUUGGUGGGGUAAUGGCCUACCAAGGCGUCGACGGGUAGCCGGCCUGAGAGGGUGGACGGCCACAUUGGGACUGAGAUACGGCCCAGACUCCUACGGGAGGCAGCAGUGGGGAAUAUUGCACAAUGGGCGCAAGCCUGAUGCAGCGACGCCGCGUGGGGGAUGACGGCCUUCGGGUUGUAAACCUCUUUCGCUAGGGACGAAGCUUUUGUGACGGUACCUAGAUAAGAAGCACCGGCUAACUACGUGCCAGCAGCCGCGGUAAUACGUAGGGUGCGAGCGUUGUCCGGAAUUACUGGGCGUAAAGAGCUCGUAGGUGGUUUGUCGCGUCGUCUGUGAAAUUCCGGGGCUUAACUUCGGGCGUGCAGGCGAUACGGGCAUAACUUGAGUGCUGUAGGGGAGACUGGAAUUCCUGGUGUAGCGGUGGAAUGCGCAGAUAUCAGGAGGAACACCGAUGGCGAAGGCAGGUCUCUGGGCAGUAACUGACGCUGAGGAGCGAAAGCAUGGGGAGCGAACAGGAUUAGAUACCCUGGUAGUCCAUGCCGUAAACGGUGGGCGCUAGGUGUGAGGGUCUUCCACGACUUUCGUGCCGUAGCUAACGCAUUAAGCGCCCCGCCUGGGG
rnacentral:rRNA from 1 species